GGGGGGGGGGGCAACUGCCCCCCAGUCCCCCCUUGUGCCCCCCCCCACGAAAUCACAUUUUGCCCCCCCACCCCCCCACCCCCCGAAAAAGUCCCUUUUUCCUAAAUUUAUAUACAAACAAACCCGCGAAGAAUAACAAAUAGAUAAACGGAAAGUAAGUUUUAGGCUUCAGUAUCUUUUGUUUUUUUGUGCGUUUUUUCCUUCUUUUAUUUCAAUUACAAGUAUAGUUAGCGUAAAUUUUAGAGCAAAUUUGGAUGCUCAGAAUGCAGGAAAUGGCAUUUCCGGGCUUCAAAUUUCAAAAAUUUUCUGCGAGAGUAUGCCCCCACACACGUGGCCUUCGGCUAUUGCUAUCCCCCUCUAAUAAGUAAUGAUAAAUUGAUUUUUUCUGUGUUGGUGUAAUGUACUCGGGUGAAUAUGAUGCUUGUGAUGUUACUCUGAGUGUAUAUCCACACCAGGCAAGCUUGAAAAAUAUGCCAGUCCACGGUCGGAAUCGAACUUACGACCUUUGGAAUACUAGCCCAAUGCUCUGCCAACUGAGCUACGCGGUCAGGUCGUUUGAGCUACGCAGUCUGGUCGGUUGAGCUACGCGGUCAGGUCGGAAUAUUGGGCUAUUAUUCCAAAGGUCGUAGGUUCGAUUCCGACCGUGGACAGGCAUAUUUUUCAAGCUUGCCCGGUGUGGAUAUACACUCAGAGUAACAUUACAAGCAUCAUAUUCACCUGAGUACAUUACACCAACACAGAAAAAAUCAUGAUUAUUAGAUUACAUUGAUAUCGAAGGAACUAGAUUCUGUUCCGAAAUAUCACAUACUCGAACCAACCUGACCGCGUAGCUCAGUUGGUAGAGCAUUGGGCUAGUAUUCCAAAGGUCGUAGGUUCUAUUCCGACCGUGGACAGGCAUAUUUUUCAAGCUUGCCCGGUGUGGAUAUACACUUAGAGUAACAUCACAAGCAUGAUGAUAAAUUAUGGUUAAUAAUUUUUAACCUUUUGUGCGUUUUUUCCUUCUUUUAUUUCAAAUACAAAGUAUAGUUAGCAUAAAUUUUAGAGCAAAUUUGAACGCUCGGAAUGCAGGAAAUUGCAUUUCCGGGCUUCAAAUUUCAAAAAAAAAUUGGGGAGUAUGCCCCCAGACUCUCCUAUUCAUCCAUGGUAUGUCGACCACACACAUGGCCUUCCGCCAUUGCUAUACCCCUAAUAUAUUAUCUCACAGAAAGGUCCCUUUUCAAGAAAUGCCCCCCCCCCCACGGGAAAAUCCUUAAAAAAGGCCCUGUGCUAUACUGUCUUAUACGAAACGAUUGCUCUCUCUAUAUUGCAGCAAAUUUAUGAGAAAAUUUGUUCAUAAAUUUGAAUAAUUUUACUUAAAAUUUUGAGUCAUUGCAUGUGUGCAUGCGCAUUAUUCGAUUCAAGGUUUUGAGUCAAAAUACUCGAGUAGUUUACAUGAUUGUUAUUCAUUGACGUAUUAGCUAUAAGGAAACGAAAGGAAACGUCUAUUGCGUUGAAAUUAUCCCCGAGCCAACGGCGCGGAGCGCCGUUCCGGGCGUAAGCCCGGGGCGAGGGUACUAAUUCCGCCCGGCUAUUUACACCCGGGGAAACGAAAGCAUU